GACGAACGCUGGCGGCGUGCUUAACACAUGCAAGUCGAGCGGUAAGGCCCUUUCGGGGGUACACGAGCGGCGAACGGGUGAGUAACACGUGAGUAAUCUGCCCUUCACUCGCGGAUAAGCUUCGGAAACGGGGUCUAAUACGCGAUGUACACCGGCUUCUGCAUGGGGUUGGUGGAAAGUGUUUAGCGGUGGGGGAUGUGCUCGCGGCCUAUCAGCUUGUUGGUGGGGUAAUGGCCUACCAAGGCGUCGACGGGUAGCCGGCCUGAGAGGGUGACCGGCCACACUGGGACUGAGACACGGCCCAGACUCCUACGGGAGGCAGCAGUGGGGAAUAUUGGACAAUGGGCGGAAGCCUGAUCCAGCAACGCCGCGUGAGGGAUGACGGCCUUCGGGUUGUAAACCUCUUUCAGUGUCGACGAAGCCUCAUUUUGGUGGGGUGACGGUAGGCGCAGAAGAAGCACCGGCCAACUACGUGCCAGCAGCCGCCGUAACAC
rnacentral:rRNA from 1 species